rnacentral:rRNA from 1 species
GAUGAACGCUGGCGGCGUGCCUAAUACAUGCAAGUCGAGCGAACGGACGAGAAGCUUGCUUCUCUGAUGUUAGCGGCGGACGGGUGAGUAACACGUGGAUAACCUACCUAUAAGACUGGGAUAACUUCGGGAAACCGGAGCUAAUACCGGAUAAUAUUUUGAACCGCAUGGUUCAAAAGUGAAAGACGGUCUUGCUGUCACUUAUAGAUGGAUCCGCGCUGCAUUAGCUAGUUGGUAAGGUAACGGCUUACCAAGGCAACGAUGCAUAGCCGACCUGAGAGGGUGAUCGGCCACACUGGAACUGAGACACGGUCCAGACUCCUACGGGAGGCAGCAGUAGGGAAUCUUCCGCAAUGGGCGAAAGCCUGACGGAGCAACGCCGCGUGAGUGAUGAAGGUCUUCGGAUCGUAAAACUCUGUUAUUAGGGAAGAACAUAUGUGUAAGUAACUGUGCACAUCUUGACGGUACCUAAUCAGAAAGCCACGGCUAACUACGUGCCAGCAGCCGCGGUAAUACGUAGGUGGCAAGCGUUAUCCGGAAUUAUUGGGCGUAAAGCGCGCGUAGGCGGUUUUUUAAGUCUGAUGUGAAAGCCCACGGCUCAACCGUGGAGGGUCAUUGGAAACUGGAAAACUUGAGUGCAGAAGAGGAAAGUGGAAUUCCAUGUGUAGCGGUGAAAUGCGCAGAGAUAUGGAGGAACACCAGUGGCGAAGGCGACUUUCUGGUCUGUAACUGACGCUGAUGUGCGAAAGCGUGGGGAUCAAACAGGAUUAGAUACCCUGGUAGUCCACGCCGUAAACGAUGAGUGCUAAGUGUUAGGGGGUUUCCGCCCCUUAGUGCUGCAGCUAACGCAUUAAGCACUCCGCCUGGGGAGUACGACCGCAAGGUUGAAACUCAAAGGAAUUGACGGGGACCCGCACAAGCGGUGGAGCAUGUGGUUUAAUUCGAAGCAACGCGAAGAACCUUACCAAAUCUUGACAUCCUUUGACAACUCUAGAGAUAGAGCUUUCCCCUUCGGGGGACAAAGUGACAGGUGGUGCAUGGUUGUCGUCAGCUCGUGUCGUGAGAUGUUGGGUUAAGUCCCGCAACGAGCGCAACCCUUAAGCUUAGUUGCCAUCAUUAAGUUGGGCACUCUAAGUUGACUGCCGGUGACAAACCGGAGGAAGGUGGGGAUGACGUCAAAUCAUCAUGCCCCUUAUGAUUUGGGCUACACACGUGCUACAAUGGACAAUACAAAGGGCAGCGAAACCGCGAGGUCAAGCAAAUCCCAUAAAGUUGUUCUCAGCUCGGAUUGUAGUCUGCAACUCGACUACAUGAAGCUGGAAUCGCUAGUAAUCGUAGAUCAGCAUGCUACGGUGAAUACGUUCCCGGGUCU